rnacentral:rRNA from 1 species
AGCGAAUCUGAUGGGAGCUUGCUCCCUGAGAUUAGCGGCGGACGGGUGAGUAACACGUGGGCAACCUGCCUAUAAGACUGGGAUAACUUCUGGGAAACCUGGAGCUAAUACCUGGAUACNGUUCUUCUCUCGCAUGAGAGAAGAUGUGAAAGACUGGUUUACUGCUGUCACUUAUAGAU